GAUGAACGCCGGCGGUGUGCCUAAUACAUGCAAGUCGAACGCGUUGGCCCAAUUGAUUGAUGGUGCUUGCACCUGAUUGAUUUUGGUCGCCAACGAGUGGCGGACGGGUGAGUAACACGUAGGUAACCUGCCCAGAAGCGGGGGACAACAUUUGGAAACAGAUGCUAAUACCGCAUAACAGCGUUGUUCGCAUGAACAACGCUUAAAAGAUGGCUUCUCGCCAUCACUUCUGGAUGGACCUGCGGUGCAUUAGCUUGUUGGUGGGGUAACGGCCUACCAAGGCGAUGAUGCAUAGCCGAGUUGAGAGACUGAUCGGCCACAAUGGGACUGAGACACGGCCCAUACUCCUACGGGAGGCAGCAGUAGGGAAUCUUCCACAAUGGGCGCAAGCCUGAUGGAGCAACACCGCGUGAGUGAAGAAGGGUUUCGGCUCGUAAAGCUCUGUUGUUAAAGAAGAACACGUAUGAGAGUAACUGUUCAUACGUUGACGGUAUUUAACCAGAAAGUCACGGCUAACUACGUGCCAGCAGCCGCGGUAAUACGUAGGUGGCAAGCGUUAUCCGGAUUUAUUGGGCGUAAAGAGAGUGCAGGCGGUUUUCUAAGUCUGAUGUGAAAGCCUUCGGCUUAACCGGAGAAGUGCAUCGGAAACUGGAUAACUUGAGUGCAGAAGAGGGUAGUGGAACUCCAUGUGUAGCGGUGGAAUGCGUAGAUAUAUGGAAGAACACCAGUGGCGAAGGCGGCUACCUGGUCUGCACUGACGCUGAGACUCGAAAGCAUGGGUAGCGAACAGG
rnacentral:rRNA from 1 species